CCCUUAGUUAUCCUAGGCCGCACGCGUGUUACAAUGACUUUUUCAGCAAGUUCUCCUGGCCCGAGAGGGUGCGGGUAAUCUGAAAUCAAAGUCGCGUUAGGGAUAGAUCUUUGCAAUUAUAGAUCUUGAACGAGGAUUUUGUAGUAAGUGCGCGUCAUCACCGCGUACUGACUGCGUCCCUGCUGUUUGUACACACCGCCCGUCGCUUCUACCGAUUGAAUGUUCCGGUGAGUAAUUUGGACCCGGGGGGGCUUGCUCCUCUGGGGAAGUUUCGCAAACCUAUGCAUUUAGAGGAAGAAGAAGUCGUAACA
rnacentral:rRNA from 1 species